rnacentral:tRNA from 1 species
AAGUUUGUAGCGAACCCGCAGUUAGUUUCGACCUAACCUAUGGUGUAGAAUCACCCAAACUUA